AAAUUGAAGAGUUUGAUCAUGGCUCAGAUUGAACGCUGGCGGCAGGCCUAACACAUGCAAGUCGAACGGUAACAGGAAACAGCUUGCUGUUUCGCUGACGAGUGGCGGACGGGUGAGUAAUGUCUGGGAAACUGCCUGAUGGAGGGGGAUAACUACUGGAAACGGUAGCUAAUACCGCAUAAUGUCGCAAGACUAAAGAGGGGGACCUUCGGGCCUCUUGCCAUCGGAUGUGCCCAGAUGGGAUUAGCUAGUAGGUGGGGUAACGGCUCACCUAGGCGACGAUCCCUAGC
rnacentral:rRNA from 1 species